rnacentral:misc_RNA from 1 species
UCUCUUCUUUAAACCUCUGUUCUCCUCUUCUCAUCUCAUCUCUUUUCUCUAUUCUCUUCCCGUCUAAUUAUUUUCUCUUCCCAUCUAAUUCUUUUCUCUUCUCAUCUCAUCUUUCUUCUCUGUUCUGAGUUCCAAUCUCUGUUAUCAGAUCUGAUCCAUAACAAGGUACACAGUCGAAAUGACAUGGUCAGUAACUCAUCCCAAUUCAUUUGAGAAAAUGUAUAACUGCAUCUCUUGCCAGCAUGGUGAAAAAUCAGUAGACUGGGUCAUAAUAAGAGAUUGAUACACUUGAAUUGUAUAGAUAUUUUUAAGCACGUUUGUAUACUAUCUCAUGGCAUUUAGGCAAGUAUUUUCAUGC